AUUGAACGCUGGCGGCAGGCCUAACACAUGCAAGUCGAGCGGAUGAAGGGAGCUUGCUCCUGGAUUCAGCGGCGGACGGGUGAGUAAUGCCUAGGAAUCUGCCUGGUAGUGGGGGAUAACGUCCGGAAACGGGCGCUAAUACCGCAUACGUCCUGAGGGAGAAAGUGGGGGAUCUUCGGACCUCACGCUAUCAGAUGAGCCUAGGUCGGAUUAGCUAGUUGGUGGGGUAAAGGCCUACCAAGGCGACGAUCCGUAACUGGUCUGAGAGGAUGAUCAGUCACACUGGAACUGAGACACGGUCCAGACUCCUACGGGAGGCAGCAGUGGGGAACAUUGGACAGUGGGCGAAAGCCUGAUCCAGCCAUGCCGCGUGUGUGAAGAAGGUCUUCGGAUUGUAAAGCACUUUAAGUUGGGAGGAAGGGCAGUAAGUUAAUACCUUGCUGUUUUGACGUUACCAACAGAAUAAGCACCGGCUAACUUCGUG
rnacentral:rRNA from 1 species